GAAGCUUAUAUCAGAGAAACACUAGAUAUCAAAAAAUAGCUAGAAGGUAAAUAAGAAUUCUGAAUUAAAAAUACGAUCCAUGGGUUGGCAUUUGCUCUUUUGGGUUUCUCAUACUCACCCCUCAGUGCUUUGGAAAGAUUAGCAGCACUUGUAAAACUUCUGUUAGACUUCAAUCUAUAAUGCAGCUUUCACUUAGUCAACAUAUAAUGUGAUUUACACUACGACCUUAAUUUGUGUCACAGAGAUAGCAUGGAUCUUUUUUACAUUUCUAAAAUAUUCCAUUCAUAAUUUUUGAAUAAGAUGACUACAAAAUGGCUAGUAAUCUGUUUUCGUUUACCUAUUUUCAAAAAGUCAUGUCCUAAAAUUAAAUAAAUUAAUCUCAAACAAAAGUACAUAUAAUACAUUUUAGCAUUAAUGUAUACCAUUCUUCAUUUAUGAAGACUUUGGUGCUUUCUUUUUUGUACUUUUCUAUACUUAGUGUCUAGCACACGGAAGGCAUUGCAUAAGUAACCACUGAAUGAAAGAUGCUACUAAACUUAUAGGAAAAAAAUGCAAAAUGUUCCCAGUAUUACCAGUGAAGUAGAAAAUUCGGUUUGAUUCUUAAUGAUUUUGCCCUUCCCCAGGACUAAAAGUACCUGCAAGAAGAUUAACUAAAGCUAACUUGUCUUCAG
rnacentral:lncRNA from 1 species